UCGCCAGCAGAGACCUCAGGUCAGCUAGAACUAGGCAUGAGGUUGCGCCAUCUGCCCCAGUGGCUGGAUUUCCACCAUGAAGGCACAGUUCAGUUAUCAUGUUGACUGGUUGUGUGUUAACCUGGCGAGGACUGGAGAAAUGGGUGUUGACAGCUUGGGGUGUUAACCUGGAGCCGUGUCGAGAUGGAGCAGGGCAGCCAGGAUAGUGCUUGCUCAGUGCUGCACACCUCGGCUCAGCGGGGCUGCGUGCUCCUUCACUCGCUCUGUCAUUCCUUUCCACACUUCGCCUUCUUUGGAUCUGUGACCUCCAGGGCUGAAAAUCCAACAACGAACGAGACAUUUUCCUAGUGCUUCUAAGUAGGGGCCAGGCCAGUAAGCAAGAAUGACCAAGGGACGGUUAGAGCCACACCGAACACACGCAUGCUGAAUCCGGAGCCCUGCGGGCACGAGUAGGAGAGGUGCAGCGACCGCUGUGGGCCGAGCCCUAAACACGUGUGACUGGAUUAUCUGAGGCUGGUGCUGUGGCAUAGUGGUGCUGGAGUCCCAUACAGGCGCCAGUUUGGAUGGAAGACCCCCACCCCCGACCCUGCCUUGCCUCUCUGUAACUCUGUCUUUCAAAUAAAGAAAUCUUUAGAAA